rfam:Schistosoma mansoni, Puerto Rico, WGS project CABG01000000 data, contig: 0504
GCACUACUGAGGAGUCCCAUACUAGGAUGAAACGGCUGUCCAGUGC